CUCUUUCUCAACUCUAAUGCAGGCGCUUGGGCUCACAGCCGAACCCUCACCGCUUGCUCUGACAAAAUGGCUCACGUGUGCUCCUGCACACACAUCCAGCAGUUCUCCUCUCGGAGGAGGUGAGAGUGGGAGAAGCACGGGUUUUUUGGGGCGCCGGAUUGGUUGCCAAGUGAGUUUCAGAGGAGCUUUUAUUUUUAUUUCCAGGAGAGAUUUUAACUGCUUUACACAGAGUUUACGUUUUUUGUCGAUUACUUACGCACGAUGCAAAAAAUCAUCGCCCACAUUUGCACCACUCUAAGCGCAAUGUCCGCUCGCGCUUUUUGCAAAAACAAUACGCACACAGUGAUUUGUAAGACACUUGUAAACAUUAUAGACACAAGGCCAAUGCUGCAGACUGAUUAGUCAACAUGGAGAUUCACAACAAGAAACAAGUCCCAGUUGUGUUCAUGCAGCAGACCAACAAAACAUUCUAUCCAGUACAAAGAAAGAAAAGCUGAAAAUACAGUACAAAAAAUGCUACACGUUGUCUCUUCGUCUAGCUGGAUCUGGCCUCCUCCUCUGGGGAUUCCACCCUCACCCUCACUCUUCUCCUUCCUUCCAUUUUGGUUGAACGGGACGGUCUGGAGUCAUCUGUGAAUCAAAGCUAAUAGUUGAAGAGAGUUGCAACACUUCUGCCGGCUGUUGCCUCAGUCUGUCACUGGACGGAGAAGAUCACAUCGUCGACGUUAUGGACAAAGAAAAAUACCCACAGUGGACAUUAUUAUGUUUUUCCCUUGCAGAAUCGCCCCACUCCUGCGUCUGCAAACACUGCACUUGGGAGCAUUGAAAAGAGCUGACUGCCCUCAAACACAUGCGGUGCACUUUCCAGGAAAACACACAAAGAACUCUGUAACGUGAAACGAAAGCUGACAGCGGCGAUCUCAAAACGCAACGUGACGUUGUGUCGGCCAGUACACCGGUUUUCCCCUCGGCUUUUCUUGCAUUUGUCCACAGAAAAACACACCUCAUUAUCUUUCGCAGAGUAAAUGAUGUAGAUCACGUUGAACGUUUU
ensembl:lncRNA